rnacentral:misc_RNA from 1 species
UUUCCGUAGGUGAACCUGCGGAAGGAUCAUUAUUGAAUGAAACACUUCUGGCUUUAUGCUGUUGUGCUGGCCCUUUGUACAAUGUGCACACGGCUCUGGUCACUUGUUUCUUCUGUUCCACCUGUGCACUGCCUGUAGACACGCUGUGUCUAUGAUAUUUGUUAACACACAACAAUGUUAGUUGGCAUGUUAUAUAUAAUAAUAAAAUAUACAACUUUCAACAACGGAUCUCUUGGCUCUG